rnacentral:rRNA from 1 species
GUGCCAGCAGCCGCGGUAAUACGUAGGCAGCAAGCGUUGUUCGGAAUUACUGGGCGUAAAGCGUGCGUAGGCGGUGCCUCAAGUUUGGUGUGAAAUCUCCCGGCUCAACCGGGAGGGUGCGCCGAAAACUGAGGUGCUCGAGUGUGGGAGAGGUAGGCGGAAUUCCUGGUGUAGCGGUGAAAUGCGUAGAUAUCAGGAGGAACACCGGCGGUGUAGACGGCUUACUGGACCAUAACUGACGCUGAGGCACGAAAGUGUGGGGAGCAAACAGGAUUAGAAACCCUGGUAGUCC